rnacentral:tRNA from 2 species
GGGGAGAUGGCAGAGCGGUCAAUUGCAUCAGACUGUAAAUCUGACGACUCACGUCUACGUAGGUUCAAAUCCUACUCUCCCCA